rnacentral:rRNA from 1 species
UACGAAGGGGGCUAGCGUUGCUCGGAAUCACUGGGCGUAAAGCGCGCGUAGGCGGCUUUCUAAGUCGGGGGUGAAAUCCUGGAGCUCAACUCCAGAACUGCCUUCGAUACUGGAGAGCUCGAGUCCGGGAGAGGUGAGUGGAACUGCGAGUGUAGAGGUGAAAUUCGUAGAUAUUCGCAAGAACACCAGUGGCGAAGGCGGCUCACUGGCCCGAUACUGACGCUGAGGUGCGAAAGCGUGGGGAGCAAACAGG